AACCCCCCUUUUUUGUUCUUGUUCUGUACGAAGUAACACACACAAAUCACCACACUCAAAGCCUCCUAUCCUUUUUCCUAUUCCAAUCGGUUUCAACAACAGAUUUCAAAGGAAAACACUUGUAAUUUUUGUAAUAAUAAUCAUUUAGCAAGGAUAUUCAAGCAUCAUCAUCGUCAUCUUUAUCUUCUUGCUUUCAUUUCAAGAACACCAAAAGAAUUUGUUUGGAUAGACGUGGAGACUAGAUUAAUCAUUGUCAAGUUUGCUCAUCCAUUUUAGCUCUUUGAUCGCUAAGGUAACCAACAGUAAGUCUUGGAUCAGCUUGGCAUUUUAGGGCCAUUCUUUUGACUUUGGACGUACAAUUAGCGUCAGACAUAUGAGAACUAUCAUCUUAUUAGUUCUAAUCGUACUAGACUGUCCAAAUAUUUAUCUUGUAUUCAGUGGGCAAAAUUCCAUAUAUGGAUGACUUGUAUCCGUAUUUUGGGGUUCACAUUUGAACGAUUGUACUUGUAUUAGACUUGUAUUUGGUAUUAAAUGGAUGUAAUUUCUAUUA